rnacentral:tRNA from 2 species
UGGGCCCAUAGCUUAGCCAGGUAGAGCGUCCGGCUCAUAACCGGAAGGUCAUGGGUUCGAACCCCAUUGGGCCCAU